CAGCCGCCGCGGGAAUACGGAGGGUGCAAGCGUUAUCCGGAUUUAUUGGGUUUAAAGGGUCCGUAGGCGGAUCUGUAAGUCAGUGGUGAAAUCUAACAGCUUAACUGUGAAACUGCCAUUGAUACUGCAGGUCUUGAGUAAAUUUGAAGUGGCUGGAAUAAGUAGUGUAGCGGUGAAAUGCAUAGAUAUUACUUAGAACACCAAUUGCGAAGGCAGGUCACUAAGAUUUAACUGACGCUGAUGGACGAAAGCGUGGGGAGCGAACAGGAUUAGAUACCCGAGUAGUCCCUGUCUCUUAUAC
rnacentral:rRNA from 1 species